rnacentral:tRNA from 1 species
GGUACUAUAGCCAAGUGGUUAAGGCGACAGAUUAGAAUCUAGGUUCAUCUGUUACUCUCUGAGUGCGCAGGUUCAAAUCCUGCUGGUGUCG